AGCACAUAGCAGCAUACUGUAAAGAAGUGACUAAGAAAAGGCUUUCCUGACAGCCAAAUGCAAAAUGUUCAUUAACAAUACAAGAGCAUCAUGAAGAAACUGAAGUCCCCAGUUGCCUCAGUUUACUAGGCACUGGUAAAUUUAGUGAAAGCCGAGAGUUAUCAGAUACUGAAACACACAUAAACACACACACACACACACACACACACACACACGCAUUCACACACACACCGGAGACCAGGUCAGAAUCAGACUAUCAUCUCAGGAAUGAUGCAGAAGAAGAUAAAUCCAGCGUGGGAGGAUGACUUAUCAUCUGGAGGAAGACCACUCACCUAACCAGAGUCCCCACGCUGGGCUGCUCCAUUAUCAAGGGAGAAAAAUCUAC
rnacentral:lncRNA from 1 species